rnacentral:lncRNA from 1 species
UUCAAGUGAUUUUCCUGCCUCAGCCUCCUGAGUAGCUGGGAUUACAGGGGUGUGCCAUCACACCUGGCUAAUUUUUGUAUUUUUAGUAGAGAUGGAGUUUCACCAUGUUGGCCAGGCUGGUCUCCAACUCCUGACCUCAAAUGAUCCGCCUGCCUCAGCCUCCCAAAGUGUUGGGAUUACAGGUGCGAGCCACCGCACCCAGACUUCAAUUAUCUUAUGAAAAGUUUUUGCUGCCGUUUUAUUUGAAUUAGGUCUAAGUAGUAUCCAUACACUGCAUUUCGUUAACACGCCUCUUACAUUUCUUUUAAUCUAGAGAUUCCUCCUUACUCAUUUUUCUCUUCUUCACAAGUUUUUUUUUUUUUUUUUUUUUUUUUUUUUUUUUUUAAAGAAAACCGGUCAUCCAGGCUUUCUUUAAUGAUGAGAAGAAAUGGAAGUAUUUGCCUGUUCACAUUCUUGAAUGCUAUAGGGUUCUCCAAGUUGUAGAUUAGAAAAUGCUUUAAUUUGAACUCUGAAACAUUUCCAGGCAAAAGCAGCAUUACAUGGUCUUUGUAUGCCUUGAAUCUUGGCAUUGUCUUGGAUGUGCGAUGAAUGUAUGUAUGCUCCAGCAUACAAACAUUCUGUUUCUGAAACAAACUUCAGAAAAAGUUUGUUUCAUUGGCAUUAAACAUUUGUUCUGGUAAAUAUUUCUCAUCCACAAUUAUCCUAUGCAGCUCUUUUUUUCUUUUCUUUUCUUUUUUAAAGCUUUAAGACAUUCAAUAUGGCAUUUGCUGCCUCACUGCUGAUCUUCACAUUAUGAAAAUUAUGAGCCAUUUGAAGCACUGGAACAGCCCAUGACUUGCUAUAAAUAUUUGCAUAUAGGUGGGAUCAUCAGAAUGUUUUUUAGUGUAUAAAAAAGAGU